rnacentral:lncRNA from 1 species
CCAAACUUAGUGACAUGAAAAUGUCAAAACCUUAGCUAACGUGAAAACGUUAGAAACCUUAGGAACGGAUGUAUGGUACGUCUACCAUUAUACGUAGGAUCCUAAAUAUAGCCAGUACGAUGAGGUUGUCAGCCCCGAAAGUGGGUACUGGUCCCAAAGACGUGAACUAUACCAGGAUCAUCGUGCGCUGCUGGCGGAAACUGGGGAUAAUCCCAAGGAUAACUGGGGUUGGACCCAAGGAUCUGUGGUGCUUUUGGAGAUCUUUGACGAUUUGCUGAAGAUACCUGAACUAUCAUAACUCAAAUGGUUUGUGAGUAGAGGAUGAAGGAUACAUGAUCCUUAUCCUUAGGUAAAAAGUAAGAAAAUGCAAUAGUUUUAGGAUAAGCAUAUUACCAGAGUAAGGAUCACUGAUAUCUCCGGGAUCCUUCAAGGAUACUUCAAUGUAAGGAUCACAUGCAUGAAGGAUCAUGUUCACAUGAAAUAUUUCUUUAAGUGAACAGCAUUCCAGGCUCUUGGUAACAAGUUUCCUUCCAUGGUUAGCAACCUGUAUGCCCCCUUUCCUGCUUCAGCUUCAAUCAAGUAGGGACCUUCCCAUUUUGGUGCUAGCUUCCCGUCAGCAGGAUUGAUAGUAUUUUGAAAUGCUUUUCUCAACACCAUAUCUCCGACUUGGAACUUCCUUAUCCUGACAUUUUUGUUGUAGGUACCAGCCAUUCUUUGUUGGUAGCUUGCCAUCCUUAUUCUAGCUAGAUCCCUGAUUUCCUCAAUAGUAUCCAAAUCCUGAGCUAGGAUUGCAGCAUUUUCUUCAGGAUCACGAGCAAUUGUUCUAGCAGUUGGGAUCACCAUCUCUGUUGGGAUCACUGCUUCUGCCCCAAAUACUAAAGAGAAAGGUGUUUGACCAGUGGCAUUCUUGGGAGUUGUCCUAUCAGCCCAUAGCACAUAAGGUAACUCCUCUGCCCAUUUUCCCUUUCUUGGAUCCUAGCUUCUUCUUCAGAUUGUUGAUGAUGAUCUUGUUGGAUGAUUCUGCUUGACCAUUGGCUUGUGGAUGAACUGGUGUUGAUGUUAUCAUCUUGAUUCCCCAACUGUCACAAAAGUUAGUGGUUCUGCUUCCAAUGAAUUGGGAGCCAUUAUCACAUACAAUUUCAGAGGGAAUGCCAAAUCUAGUUAUAAUGUUUCUUUUAAUGAAGGAUAUGACUUCCUUUUCUCUGACUUGAGCGAAGGCUUCAGCUUCUAUCCACUUGGAAAAAUAGUCAGUCAUGGCAAGCAUAAAUACUUUUCCACCAGGUGCUUUAGGGAGCUUGCCAACUAUAUCCAUUCCCCAUCUCAUGAAUGGCCAAGAGGAUGGUAUAGGAUGUAGAAAUUCAGCUGGCUGAUGAAGGAUAUUGCUGUGUCUUUGACAAGGAUCACACUUCUUAGCAUAUUCUACAGCAUCCCUUUUCAUAGUUGGCCAGUAGUAUCCUGUUCUAAGGAUCCUUGAGAACAAUGCCCUGCCCC